AUAUAUAAGGGAACUUAUAAAUUAUUAUUGUUAAUAUGUCGUUAACGUUCGUUUUUGAACGCACAAGGGUGUUCUUAGUAGACAAAUACAAGCAUUUACAAGGUUUUCGGUUAUCGUCUUUUAAAUAGGGGUUUCAGAGAUUAUAGUAUUGUAAGUUUUUGUCCACCUGGACAAGUAUUUUGGUUUCAGUUAAAAAAUGGAAACUAUGUACAUGUAAAAGUGGUGGG